AAGACGCACAAACUGUAAGAUAUUUUUAUUUGCCUUUUUCUUCUAAUUGCCGGUUUCAAUUUGAUUUGUUUUGUUUAAUCGUUCCUAUAAUAUGGUUUAUGCGUCUUUUCCGUAAUAAUGUUAUAAAAGUGCAAAUGGCGAUCAUAUCGUAGUGUCACAAAUCAUUUGAGUCUACCAAACCUACGUACUUUUUAAAUACUACUAUUAUACAUACCCACUAUCAAUCAUAUCAUAACCCUCGGAAUCUUUAUAAACAAGUCUUUUUUCUUUAAAAGUUAUUAAAAACUUGA
rnacentral:lncRNA from 1 species